rnacentral:rRNA from 1 species
CAGACCUCUAAUCGCAAAAG